UGCAGUCGAGCGGCAGCACGGGUACUUGUACCUGGGGGCGAGCGGCGGACGGGUGAGUAAUGCCUAAGAAUCUCCCUGGUAGUGGGGGAUAACGCUCGGAAACGGACUCUUAUACCGCACACCUCCUACGAGAAAAAGCAGGAGACCUUCGGGCCUUGCUCUAUCAUAUGACCCUAGGUCAGAUUAUCUAUUUUGUGAGGUAGUGGCUCACCAGGGACACUAUCCAUAUCUGGUCUGAGAGGAUGAUCACUCACUCUGGAUCUGACACACGGCCCACACUCCUACGGGAGGCAGCAGUGGGGAAUAUUGGACUAUGGGCAAAAGCCUGAUCCACCCGUGCCGCGUGUGUAAAAAAUGUCUUCAGAUUGUAAAGCUCUUUAAUUUGGGAAGAGGGGCAUUUACCUUACACUUAUGUGUUUUGACUUUCCCGACAGAAUAAGCCCCGGCAAUCUCUGUGCCAGCACCCGCGGUUAUACAGAGGGUGCACGCGUUUAUCGGAUUUACUGGGCGUAAAGCGCGCGUAUGUUGUUCUUUAAUUUGUAUGUGAAAUCCCCGGUCUCACCCUGGGAUCUGCAUUCAAAACUGUCGAUCUAGAGUAUGGUAGAGGGUGGUGGAAUUUCCUGUGUAGCGGAAAAGUGCGUAUAUAUAAGAGAGAACACCAGUGGAGAGCGACACCACCUGGACAGAUACUGACUCUGAUGUGCGAAAGCGUGGAGAGCACACGAGAUUAUAUACCCUGGUACUCCACGCCAUACACUAUCUCCACUACCCUGUGAGAGUCUUGAUCUCUGAGUGGCGCAUCUCACGCAAUA
rnacentral:rRNA from 1 species